AUUGAACGCUGGCGGCAGGCCUAACACAUGCAAGUCGAACGGGGACUUCGGUCCUAGCGGCGAACGGGUGAGUAAUGCUUGGGAAUCUGCCCAGUAGUGGGGGAUAACGUCCCGAAAGGGACGCUAAUACCGCAUACGUCCUACGGGAGAAAGAGGGGGAUCUUCGGACCUCUCGCUAUUGGAUGAGCCCAAGUCGGAUUAGCUAGUUGGUAGGGUAAUGGCCUACCAAGGCGACGAUCCGUAGCUGGUCUGAGAGGAUGAUCAGCCACACUGGAACUGAGACACGGUCCAGACUCCUACGGGAGGCAGCAGUGGGGAAUAUUGGACAAUGGGCGAAAGCCUGAUCCAGCCAUGCCGCGUGUGUGAAGAAGGCCUUCGGGUUGUAAAGCACUUUAAGCGGGGAGGAAGGUUCGCGGCCUAAUACGUCGCGGAAUUGACGUUACCCGCAGAAUAAGCACCGGCUAACUCUGUG
rnacentral:rRNA from 1 species